rnacentral:rRNA from 1 species
GGGUGCAAACAUACCAGCAUUAAAGCACCAGAGCCCAUCAAAACUCCGUAGAAAAGCAUGCUUGGGCGAGAAUAGUACUAGGAUGGGUGACCUCCUGGGAAGUCCUGUACUUCCC